rnacentral:lncRNA from 1 species
UCAACUCCACCGUAUCUUUCCCCCUUCUCUCGGCAUUCACUAUCGAUCUCAAUGCAUUAUUCAAUAUCAUUCUCCCCAUCCUUAUGUGUGCAAAAUCCAACCCUCAAAUGUCACGCACCCAAAGGAAGGCUCUGUUAGAAACAAAAAGGUAUUGCUGUGAUCUUUAACCCUCUUAGCUGUGUAGUUGGAGUGGUUAGCUGUGAAGUAAUACAUACAAAAAUUUGAAAUAUUGAGGUAUUGCUGUGAUCUUUAACCCUCUUAGCUGUGUAGUUGGAGUGGUUAGCUGUGAAGUAAUACAUACAAAAAUUUGAAAUAUUGAAAAGUAUACCUAGAACAACUAGAAAAAUAGGUUACAUUCCUGCACUUAAUUCGUACAUACCAG